rnacentral:rRNA from 1 species
UGGGGAAUAUUGGACAAUGGGCGAAAGCCUGAUCCAGCAAUGCCGCGUGUGUGAAGAAGGCCUGCGGGUUGUAAAGCACUUUCAGUAGGGAGGACGGUACAUAAGGUUAAUACCCUUGAGUGCUGACGUUACCUACAGAAGAAGCACCGGCUAACUCCGUGCCAGCAGCCGCGGUAAUACGGGGGGUGCAAGCGUUAAUCGGAAUUACUGGGCGUAAAGCGCGCGUAGGCGGUUUGGUAAGUCAGAUGUGAAAGCCCCGGGCUCAACCUGGGAAUUGCAUUUGAUAAUGUCAGACUAGAGUGUGAUAGAGGAUAGUGGAAUUCCCGGUGUAGCGGUGAAAUGCGUAGAUAUCUGGAGGAAAACCAAUGGCGAAGGCAACUGUCUGGGUCAACACUGACGCUGAGGUGCGAAAGCGUGGGGCGCAAACAGGAUUAGAUACCCCUGUAGU